GUUUCCUGUUAGGAGGAUGAUUGAAACGACAUGUUGCCCCAAACCUGCAAAGGCCAGUUCUGAUAUAAUAAGAACAAUCGGGCUCUCCUUCACGCACAGGAUAAGGUCCCGGUUCCAUCGCUUCCAUUGAUCACUAGUUCAAUUUUCAAAGUACAUCUGGAAAUAUCAUGACUUGUAAGAAACACCUCGACGGUGAGAGUGGAUCGCGAGAGUAGGUGUGAUAAUUCAGCAUACGACGACAGUAGAAACGACGUCGUUUGAUUAACCGGCGGCGAAAGAACGUCUCCGGCAAUCAGUAAGAGAAGCGAUGGAAUGUGAGUUUUAGAGAGAG
rnacentral:lncRNA from 1 species